AAAAAGAUAAACCUUGGUUUCCGUAUCUAAUGUUUGACUGUUCGUCUUAUAUGAAUUUUUUUAUAAUUAGUAUUUUCAUUGUUGUUAGAUGAUAAAACAUAAUCAAUACUUUAUGCGUGACUUGUCUUUUUUAUUUUCUUAUAUUUUUUUCAAAUAAGACGGACGAUCAAACAUUGGAGACAA
rfam:Oryza sativa Japonica Group DNA, chromosome 11, cultivar: Nipponbare, complete sequence.